rnacentral:rRNA from 1 species
AUACGGAGGGUGCAAGCGUUGUUCGGAAUUAUUGGGCGUAAAGUGCGUGUAGGCGGUCUGUUAAGUCUGGUGUGAAAGCCCGGGGCUCAACCCCGGAAGUGCAUUGGAUACUGGCAGACUUGAGUAUGGGAGAGGAAAGCGGAAUUCCGAGUGUAGGAGUGAAAUCCGUAGAUAUUCGGAGGAACACCAGUGGCGAAGGCGGCUUUCUGGACCAAUACUGACGCUGAGAUGCGAAAGCGUGGGGAGCGAACAGGAUUAGAAACCCCGGUAGUCC